UACGUAGGGGGCAAGCGUUGUCCGGAAUGGUUGGGCGUAAAGCGCGCGCAGGCGGUCUCUUAAGUCUGAUGUGAAAGCCCACGGCUCAACCGUGGAGGGUCAUUGGAAACUGGGAGACUUGAGUGUAUGAGAGGAAAGUGGAAUUCCAUGUGUAGCGGUGAAAUGCGUAGAGAUGUGGAGGAACACCGGUGGCGAAGGCGACUUUCUGGCCUAUAACUGACGCUGAGGCGCGAAAGCGUGGGGAGCAAACAGG
rnacentral:misc_RNA from 1 species